rnacentral:rRNA from 1 species
GUCUUCAGCCAUACCACCCUGAACGCACCUGAUCUCAUCUGAUCUCGGAAGCUAAGCAAGCUCAGGCCUGGUCAGUACUUAGAUGGGAGAAAGCAAACAGAGUGACCGUGUGAUCACC